UUUUUUUCCCCCCUCCUUCCUCCCUUCCGCCCCCUCCUCCCUUCUAUGAGAAGAAAACUUGGUUGGAUUUAAUAUAUUUCUUUGGGAUCGGAAGGAACUCCUGCCUGCUGGAUCUGGUUUAGACGCCCGAUAGACAAGUUCCAUGUGAAUGGUUUAAUAAACUCCAUUCUGCAUCCUGGUGAUUCUGUGGUCCAGUUCAGAAACUGAUUGAUUCCUAUGGUGUGAAUUGGAAGAGGUGCAGUGAUUCGGAAUGUUGGGUUUGAAAGCUCAGGGAAGAAG
rnacentral:lncRNA from 1 species